GAGUUUGAUCCUGGCUCAGAACGAACGCUGGCGGCGUGCCUGACACAUGCAAGUCGAACGUGAUCCAGAGCUUGCUCUGGUGAAAGUGGCGCACGGGUGAGUAACGCGUGGAUAACCUACCCUGGUAUCCGGGAUAACAUUCCGAAAGGGGUGCUAAUACCGGAUAAGCCCACGGGCUCUUUGGAGCUUGCGGGAAAAGGUGGCCUCUAUUUAUAAGCUACUGUAUCAGGAUGGGUCCGCGUACCAUUAGCUAGUUGGCGGUGUAACGGACCACCAAGGCGACGAUGGUUAGCUGGUCUGAGAGGAUGAUCAGCCACACUGGAACUGAGACACGGUCCAGACUCCUACGGGAGGCAGCAGUGGGGAAUUUUGCGCAAUGGGGGAAACCCUGACGCAGCAACGCCGCGUGAGUGAUGAAGGCCUUUGGGUCGUAAAGCUCUGUCAGAGGGGAAGAAAUGAUAUAGUGCUAAUACCACUUUAUCUUGACGGUACCCUCAAAGGAAGCACCGGCUAACUCCGUGCCAGCAGCCGCAGUAAUAC
rnacentral:rRNA from 1 species